rnacentral:sRNA from 1 species
UCCGAUAGAUUUUUGUGCCCAUUUUAUGUACUGCCAAGAGAUGAUCGUUCUUCGAUACGUCAGAGUCUUCAAAUCCUUCGAAAGGGAACCAAAUUCCACGAGACUUGGCUUUCAAUAAGCCCUCAUCCGAUUAUCCAGUCCGUCUAUUUUCUCAACUUAAGAAGUAUUGCGCUAUGAGAAGGAGCUUUCCCCGCAUGGAUCAGUAUCCGUUUAUGCUCGCACACUGCGUACCCCUCCCCGAACAGGCUCAACAGCAAUCAAGCUGAGCAUUCUUCUAGUGGUAUUCAUCAGGAAAGUGGCCGCAAUCCAAGAGAUUGUAAACUGCACUACAAGUGCAAACCAAAAGCCAAUCCAACUUUUUUGCCACAAUCCCUAACCGUUCCCCCAUGGGGAAAGUAGUGUAAUGGGAGAUACCAUGGCCCAGUGUGUGGCCCGUUUUUGUUUAUCUUUGCGGAGAGUCGCCCACUGGAGAUGGGAGUCGAGGGUCCGGGCAGUGACUGGUGGACUGAAAAUGCAAAGCAAAUGCGGCAUAUAUGUGUAUCUGUGGCUGUUAGUCCAAGCGAGAGACAGACGGAUGGGGAUAGGGAAUGUCAGCAGGACAGCAGCAGUGGAAGUAGGUGCGGGAGUCGGAGUGGCAACGUGCAUCCAGAGUGCCCCCCAUCUGCCGCGCAUAAAAAUUAAAAAUUUCAUUAAAUUCACAAAAAUGCUUGAAGUGGAAAAAUGUAAUAUCCUUUGGGCACAAAGGAUGUGCAUAUAAAUGCAAAUGCGGUGCUGUUAAAAACGGAGCGAUAUGUCCGAGCCCCAGUUCUGCCACAACCCAUACCCAGUCCUCCUCCAACAGCAUGCAUGAAUGCACAUUGUGCUCGUAGGCGAGAGCGAGAGCGAGAGACACUACAUGUACUUAUGUACAUACAUACAUACAUAUAUAUAUGUUCGUAUUCCGCUGGCUUAUCUCGGUCUCCCUCCCACUGGCCCUGCUCCGUGCUGCGGCCCUGCCAACCUUGUUUGCAAUUAGCGAGUGACUAGCAUUCGCCUAGUGCAGAGUGGGCGGCCGCAGCCGCAGCCCUAAACGAUAAAAGAGGACCACAUUGUUGACUAAAGAAAACUCCGGAAAUUCUUAUGAUAUCAAUGGAAAAGAUGUCGAUACAAACUCAAUUUCAACGCACCUCUGGCAGCGAUACUGUUUCCUCGAGCUACAGCCUCGUUCCAAAUGACUUAAGCCAAAAACAGAUGUACAAGCCAAUCGGCUCGUCCUGGCUCAUGAGGAUAACUUGCCUCCGCAAUAGUGGCAAGUGGUUCGGAUCGUUCCUGUGAUCGCUGGCCACAAUAAUCAAAUCCGAGUGGUAGAUUUCAAAACAGCGAAAGGAAUUUUUCUUAACGUAAUCCACAAGGUUGUCCCUAAAUCAGGUAUUCGUACCGCCAUUGUCCUCGAGUCAAAUUGCCCAAGACGCUGGUAUGCCGUGAGUCGGUAAAGUUUCUACCACCGUUCUCCGCCACUUGCUUACUAAGACGUCAUCGGAUUGGGACAAUCCACUCGAUGCGGGGACUGGGGAGCAGCCGAAAACAUAUGCCGAGCGAGCGACAAAAGUUCGAAAAUUAAAAGUUUCCGCUGCGGCUCUGCCAGAAAGUAUGGAAAAGUCGCAGACCCAGAUGGAGACCCGGAGGAGAAGCGGGAUAUGGAUAUGGAUACGGAUACAGAGAAGCGACUGCGGCAAACGAACUGCAAAUGUGCAGGCGUAUUCGUGUGUGGAAAACCGUAAUUAUGACGCUUGUUAGCAGCUACCCCUUGAAUAUGGGAAACAUUGGGCUGGAUGAUAUUCAUAUGCAGCAAAAAGGAGUGCCAGGCGGAUAAUCACUAGUUAUAAAUAACAGAUCGAAAGGUCUAGAUUACCUGGAGAAGCUUGAUGCCGAUAAAGAAUACAAUAUAUACUUGAUGUUCUUGAAAAUGCAAAAUCAUAAUGCCCUCUGGAAGCGUAUAAAAAGAGAAAGCAGCACAAGCCAGCCAAUUUCAGACCAAGUCCUGGAAAUGGACCAACUCCAAGUGCUGUAGGUCCUGCUGCUGCUGGUGCUCCUGCUGCUGCUGGUGCUGCUUUCGUUCUCUCUCCCGAUGAUGUGUCUUAUCUUGUCCUGCAGUGGCUGAGCGAUGCCAGCGCAUCCUGGAAGCUUUUUAUCUUGGCGUCAUGUUGAUGUUUGUCGGAAACUUGAUUAUUUUCAUCGUUUUUUUCAGAGCCAGCGAAUGGGUCUCCAUAUGGCUGAAGAUGUUUGGAUGCUGGCGGCGGUUGAGAGCAAAGAAGCAGUCUGGGAUUAGCCCUCCCACAGAAACCCACAAAAUGGCAGGGAAAAACACGACAGCCAAACAAAAAAAAAAAAACGGAAAAAAAACUUGCACGAUAUUCUGUGGAUAGAAGUUGAAAAUAAGGAGUUUCGCAGCAAUGUAAAUGCAACUUUAACUUCUCAUACCCGCAACAAGAGUUCGGGGUUACAGGUUGCUCUGGUUUGACUGUUUCCUGUUGUUUUUGACAAACAAGGAGAGCACACUCGUUCCUCGUAAGUAAAAUAGGUUGUAAUAAGAGCAGUUAACAACAUGAGUGAGGCCAAGGCGAGCGGAACAGGACGAGGCCAAGACACCUGAACGUCACGGCACAAACGUGUGUACAGUGGAGAUGCCUUCUAAUGGACAGAAGGAGUUGCGUACACCAAGAAAGUAGUAAAUCUUAAGAACGAAAUGGAAAGUUUAAUGGAACGAAAAACUCCCAUGUUGAAAAGUUUAUUUCAACAAUGUAUUUGAGAGGAUUAAAAAGGUGUGCAUGCAUCAUAAGGGAAAGCAUAGAAAAGAGCCCACACUCACUGUACCUAUGCCAAAACCGCUACAGGGGUUCUGCCCUGUGCCACAGAGCAUGGAAAGCAGCGGCAGGGACCGAGGGAGCGCUCCUGACAACUGACAACUCCUUUAAAAUGUAGUUACUGUUGUUAUUAUUCAACCUUAAUGAACUUAACAAGCUCGCACAACGACGACGACGACGACGGCUACGAGGACGAAGACGACAUGCUGCCAGGCCGGCAGCAGUCGGACACAGGAAUCCCGCCCCCACCUAUAGACCACCAAGCCCACCUCCACACAAGCAGCCAGUCAGACAGACAGACAGACAGACGAGCAAGUCAAACAUAGAGGGAAAGGCAGAGACAGGGAGAGAGUGGAAGAAUGGAAGAGGACGGUAAGUACCUCUCAAUGGCGCAGGGUCACGUAACUCAAAUAAAGCGCCAAAGCCACCAGCCGCAAAAAAAAAUCACAAAAGAACCAAAGGAAAACAACAAAAUGAAGCGAAGACAGGGCAGGACAGUGCACGCCGCCAAGGGAUUGAGCGGCACAGGCCACCUUUACGCCCUGUCCCAUGCACAUUGUGCAUUUUGGCCCUCGCCAAAGCCGAGGCAAAUUAAAAAUGUUUCACAAAUAUUGGGAGAACGAGGCCGGAACACAGAGAGCGGAACGCUGCGGACGGGCUCGCAAGGCAAGAGCUUAAACGGAUAUGAUUAUUGUAUUUCGUAUCGAUUGCAUCAAAUAUUGAGGGGCAGCAUACUUCAGAAUAUUUUUUUCAAACAUAUGAACUUGGGAUUUGAUAGAUUGAUGGCCAGCUUGCCAGCUUAAUGUUCCGAAGGCUCUGCCAUUCUUCACUUAUUCUUGAACUACGGGACACUUUAACACUUUCUUUUAUAUCCGAAAAGACAUUAAUAGAAAUGAAAUAGGCCCCUCCCCUGAUUACUUACAAUUAGCUGAAUUUAAUUGCCUAUAGAGCGAUAUAAGGUAUUUUUAUCAUGAAAUCUCAAAAUACGGUCUACACGUGGCUGAUUCGAAUACUUGUAAAUAUUAUUCUUCUCCGAAUACACCGAUUGGAUUAGACGCCGCGCUGCAACGAGGUUGGGUGUGCAAUACGGUCAGGUCGAAGGUUGAACUAGACAUCCCGCAGAGCCCACGCAUGUGACCUCCACUUCACAACCACCAUCGAAGAUAUCCCGGCCAUCAAUUUGCCAAAAGUGCUCAAAGCCAACGCUUCGGGAGUUCUUUAAAGUGAGAUCUAUGCCCCUCUCAGGGAUCUUCUUGCCACCAAGUGCAAUGCGGGUCGCCUCAGACGCUGUACGCCUGCGUUGUAGCAUCCUAAAAUUUAAGUGAAACUUUUGUAAUAUUUCUUGAAGAACUGACGGGGUUGUUACUUUACCCGUUAUCUCCUAAACUCCGGACACUGCACACUGGAUACAUACACUAUAUACGGAUAGAAUCGAUGCAGACUCGGAAAUGUACUUGGGCCAUUCUUUUACGCUGAUUUAGAUUUGGGAUGUGGAGUAGGACUACUGGGGAUACCACAAUAAAAAAAAACGCGCUUAGAACUCUACCUGUAUGGUGGUGU